AUGAUAAACAGAUUGAAAAUCCGAGAUGUAUUAGAGAAUCAGGGCGUAAUAGUGCGUAUACUAAUCGUAAUUGUUAACACUCUGUUAAUAUUUUGUUUGUUAUUAGACAUAACAAAAAGCUGCGAAAGACACUUACGUACUUGGAUUUUAGGAUCAUUAAUAUUGAGUAUUUUUUUAUUUGGUUCUGUUGAAAGGAUUCAAAAAAUGAUAAAAGAAGACAAAGGAUUCUUUUAUGAAGUCGUAUUGAUGCUUUUGAGUUUUUUAUGGACGUAUUUUGGUACCAUCCAGAUUAACAAGUCGGAUACGUGUCAAAAAACAGCACCUCACUUAUUUUGGGCAGUAUUCACUUUAGUGACUACAAUUUGGUGUUCCAUAAUUGGAUUGAUUUUAAGUUUGAUUAUUAUAUCAAUUGGAUCACUUUUUGUUGUUUUGUCGAAUAUAAAUUAAACAUAAAAAUUAAGUUUACAUUUAUGCAUGCAGUAUGAAUUACAUAAUUAGGCAAAACUU
rnacentral:lncRNA from 1 species